rnacentral:rRNA from 1 species
UAGGGAAUCUUCGGCAAUGGGGGGAACCCUGACCGAGCAACGCCGCGUGAGUGAAGAAGGUUUUCGGAUCGUAAAGCUCUGUUGUUAAGGAAGAACGAGUGUGAGAAUGGAAAGUUCAUACUGUGACGGUACUUAACCAGAAAGGGACGGCUAACUACGUGCCAGCAGCCGCGGUAAUACGUAGGUCCCGAGCGUUGUCCGGAUUUAUUAGGCGUAAAGCGAGCGCAGGCGGUUAGAUAAGUCUGAAGUUAAAGGCAGUGGCUCAACCAUUGUAGGCUUUGGAAACUGUUUAACUUGAGUGCAGAAGGGGAGAGUGGAAUUCCAUGUGUAGCGGUGAAAUGCGUAGAUAUAUGGAGGAACACCGGUGGCGAAAGCGGCUCUCUGGUCUGUAACUGACGCUGAGGCUCGAAAGCGUGGGGAGCGAACAGG